CAGGGUGUCGCCCAGUCCGGCCAGGGCGCUUGGCUUGGGACCAAGAGGUCGUAGGUUCAAAUCCUACCACCCUGACCA
rnacentral:tRNA from 1 species